rnacentral:tRNA from 1 species
GGAGGCCUUAGCUUAAUUAAAGUGUCUGAGUUGCAAUCAGAAGAUGUAUUUGAAUUACAGGCCUUC